ACAAUGAUGAUGUCACUGAUUCUACUGCUGGCCACCCUGGGGCUCCUUGUUCAGGAUUCAUCAGGAGAAAUCAUCCUGACUCAGUCUCCUGGAUCUCAGUCUGUUGUUCCAGGACAGACUGUCUCUCUCAGAUGUAAAGCCAGUUCAAGUGUUAGCAAUGAGGUAGACUGGUACCUUCAGAAACCUGGAGAAGCUCCUAAACUCUUGAUUUAUGAUGCUACAAACCGUCAGUCUGGAGUUUCAGAUCGUUUCAGUGGGAGUCAGUCUGGAACUGACUUCACUUUGACCAUCAGAGGAGUCCAGACUGAAGAUGUAGGAGUUUAUUACUGUCAGCAGGAUUACAGCUUCCCGUUCACACAGUGAUACAACAUCGUACAAAAACCUCUCGCAGCUGGUGAGGAACUGAUCUGAAUCAACAGCUGCACAGAAACCAUAACACUAGGUCAGGGGUGUCAAACUCAUUUUCACAGAGGGCCGCAUAAGCAAUACGGUCACCCUCAAAGGGCCAGUUGCAACUGUAAGACUGCAUAAACGUAACUACUCCUUAACAUAUUGUUAAAUAAUUGUCUCUUUAUUUCAUUAUGUAUUUAAGUUAAGGACACUUAUCAGAUGUAAAAAUAUAGCCUUAGUAAGAAAAUUUCUGUGUUAUUAUAACAUAAGUAAUUAAAUUCAUCAGAUUUAAAAACCCUCAUUACUUCAUCAAUCAAAGAUCAAACAUUUCAAGUAAAUAACAAAGACAAAUAUCAUCAAACAUAAUCUUUUCACUUUUUCACAGUCCAGAGGUACAGAAAGCUGCUAAUAACAUGAGGGACAGAUGUGGCAUUUGAUAAAACAAAUAGUCCAGCUGCACACAGCCUUGCAGAGGGGAUACAUCCAACUAAUGAGAGAUAGUUUGAUUACCUGGAAAAUGCAGAUGUAUAGGCUACUGGAGCCUAAGCCUAGUUCACACUACACAAUUCUUAGCCCAAUUUGCCGCUCGGCGACCGUCAGGCUGUGAUCGGGAGUAAAUCAGCGGUUGAUCGGUGUGAACUACUCAAAGACGCAUCAAAACGCCUCCUCAACACAUUUCUGCCAUAUCGCCGACAUCUGCCAGAUAUCUAGCACGCCAAAUAUCUGGAGGAGUCGGCCGACUCGACAUCCACAUCCAGCCAAUGAGAGAAGGCAGCUACUUUUCACCACAUGGCAAGGCAUUCACAAUUUCAAACGUCUUUACAAACGAAAGGUCUGGUUACAUUACAAUGACAAUGAGGUUUGAUUGUAUUCAUGUUGUGUAGAUUGUUGGAUUAGUUGUCAUUUAUGUACUCUUGUGGUAUUCAGUCUACCAUUGUUGGUAUUUGAUAAGCAUUGUUACCUGUGGAAAUAUUUGUAUAUUAUUAGUAUGUAUGGUAUGAAUGUGUGGUUUUGACUUGUGCAUCCACUGUUUCUAAAUGAGGUAUUGUUAUUAUUAUUAUUUUUUUUUAAUUAUUAAUAUUUUUUCUUUGAGAUUAUUGAUGAAGGAAGCAGCUAUUUUUUGUAUGUAUAAAUUCUUUGAUAGACUGGGGUGGGGUUUAAUAAGUUUUACUUCUUCCCACUCCAUUUCAAGCAUAAGUGUAUAAGUUAUUAUUAUUGUGUAUCUUUUCUGUUGUCACACUAUUUUGCUUGAAAUAAAUAAAUAAAUAA